UCUAACUUGCUAAUUGUGCUGGGGAGUUUUUGGUGUUUUUUUCCUGUUUUCUCUCCAAUAACGGCGGAUUUGUGACACCUAAUCUUGUAAACCUUUAUUGCAAUGUUCGAAGACGUGAGGGAAGGAAUGAUAUAUUUAUCGGAUCCGUGGCAUACCUGCUUAACAAUACUCGGAUAGAUUCUACCACUCAAGUAUUCUCAACGGCUCCGAAAUUGGUUGGUUUCAGCACGGGUUACUUGAGAAAAGCAGAAACAUCGCCAAGAUAAAUCUCAGAAGUUAAAUGAAAAUUGCAAUACAUUGCUGCUGCCCUGUAGGCGGUCGCCAUUCGGAACAGCCAAAACAAGGGGUUGGAAAAACAGUUAUGCGUAACAAUGGAAGCUACCCACCUCCAGCUACAGACGGACCAUAACGGACUCCACAUAUGCUUUAUUCAUUUGGCUUUCACGAAGAUCAUUCAACCGAACAUCAAUAACAUUUUGGAAGGGAGACCUGAGUUCCACAGCAGUCACGCGGUUAACUAGCGCCUUUUCUCUAUGUUAUGUACAUCCAUAAAGAUCUUGGAAAAAGCUCCAAAAUAUUGCAGAUUGAGCCGAUGAGACCGUUACUAUCUCUAAAGGCACUGAAGAGGACCUGAAAUCCAAAGGAAAUAGGAGUAAUUGCCUACUGCUAAUGUGUAUUCCAGGGAAUUCAAAAACAACUGCUGGCCAGUGCAAAAUACCACUGUUUACCAGAUCCUCUACUCCAAGUAAAUGAUGGCAGACUGUACACUGAGAUUUGUAUAAUUCUUUCAUGUGAAGCACUCAAUAAUACAAACUAUGCCCCCUUGAAUGAAGAUAACUAUAGGUUAAAUAUAUC